UGGUGUCAUACUUUGGAAUAACAUUUUAGU
rnacentral:piRNA from 2 species